CGAGUCGCCGGUUUCCGCCGGAAAAGGUUCCGUCCGGCCCGGUAUCGCUAAUCUGAUCCGGUACAGAACCGGACCGGCACCGAAGCUGUACGAUAAACUCAUGUCCGGUUUUGUCAGCAGGUGCUGCGUCUCGAUGCAGAUGCUCCGGGUGAAAUGAAUAAGGCACCUCAGCCUCUGUCAGGACCCCCAUCUGCCCCGCUUCCCGCGCCCUCCCUGGGCCUGUCCCAGCCCAGUUUUCCUCCUGCUCCUCCGCCGCAGAUGAACCCCACGGCCCAACCCCGACAGUUUGCCUCCGGUCCGAGAGCUUUACCACAACAGGUACUAACACAAACAC